rnacentral:tRNA from 1 species
GCGGGUGUAGUUUAGUGGUAAAACCACAGCUUUCCAAGCUUUUGUCGCGAGUUCGAUUCUCGUCACCCGCU